rnacentral:lncRNA from 1 species
GCUAGUUUCACUUUUAGACUACUCCAGUCGCGAGGAGAUUCCUUCCUGAUACAGGGCUGAAACCUGCCUCUCUGAAACGUCCGCCUGUGUGUCACAGAGCUUGGGCAAUAUGUUUGUAACCUUCAAAGAUGCCAAAGAAGAAUGGGGUGACACGACAUUCACUUGUCUAUCUAUAGCUCACCAGUUCUAUGACUUUAGGCAGGGAGAAGUCAAAAUCCACAUUUGUACAGGCUAAGCCACAACUAGGCAAUAUACAGUUGUGCCAAAGUCUCCAAAUCCACAGGUCUCAGGUUUCCACUCUUUCAAGGUAAAGUCUUCUUCCAAUCCCUGGGAAUUAUAUCAUAGGUGAUCAAAACUUUGAAAGUUUCUGAGUUUGAGAACUAGGAAAUAGCUUCCAAGA